rnacentral:sRNA from 1 species
UAAUAAUAUCAUUCAUAUGCUAAGUAUAUAUGAUUAUUAGAAUUUUUAUUAAUUUUAAAUCAUAUAUUUGCUUAUUACGUUUUAUCCACUUAAUUUAUUAUAGAAAACAAUAAUUUUUUGAAAUAAUUGUAAUUAAUCUUUGUACUUUAAAUAAUUGUAAUGCAUUAUCUUCUGUUUUAGAAACACAUAUGUAAUGGAAAAUAAUAUUUAGUGAAAACAAUUAACAAAAUAAUUAUUAUCGCUAUUUCAUGUAUUGCAUUAGUUUUGCUUGCAAAUUUUUUUUUGUUGCAGUAUCACAGAAGUAUUAAUAGUGUCAAUAUUUCAUAAUGACACAAAAUAUUUUGACAUAAAUUUUAUAUUUGUUUAUAUUAAUUUUCACAUAUUCGGUUUUAAAACAUGAGGUCAAAAACAAGCUUGGCAUGAAAUUUUAUCAUGCUUUUGGUAUGAAUUUUAGCACUAUUAAGAGACUUAGGCUGUGUUCGGCAGCAAGUUUUCCCAACUCCCCUCCCUCGUGUUUCGCGUGCACGCUUUUCAAACUGGUAAACGAUGUGCUUUUUACAAAAAGUUUCUAUACGAAAGUUGCUUUAAAAAAUCAUAUUGAUCUAUUUUUAAAAAAAAAUAGCUAAUACUUAAUUAUCACGUGCUAAUGGACUGCUCCGUUUUCCAUGCAGAGUAGAUUUGUUCCCAACAAGUCCUACCGAACUCAGCCUUAACGGAAUAAGGGCAAACCCAAGCUUUAGAUUCAAAUAACAAUGUUAAAAUUACAAAGUUAUAAUCGACGAUGUAAACAAGGAGCACAGUUGCCUCUUAAAUCAAAGAGAUAAUUUAUUUUGAUCCUCUUUUCCAACUUUAUUCAUUUAACCCCACUUGCUAUUGGAUCGUCUUCUUUCUAUAGAGUAAAUACAUCUCUUCUUUCUAUAAAUGUAAAGCCCACUAAACACCUAAAGUUCAACAUGCAAUAUUUAUUAGCAUUUCUAAAACCUAUAUCCAAGUAUGCCACCUCACCCACUAAGCAUAAAAAACUAAACAUGCAUGUAUAUGGUAAGGGCAACACUAAUAUAUAUUAUCAACAUGGGUAUUAGUGUCGGACUAAACGAUAGGCGGUAGUAGGAAGAGACCCCAUCCACAAUGCUUAUUUUGGCGAGAUGGCAGUAAGGUGGGGUCCACAGGGUAAAAAAGAUCGACGCUACUCAAUUCCUUAGCUGCUGCCGGAGUAGUGCUACUGGCUGGUUGUCAGAAAACACUGAGCACAUGCAUUUUAUAUUCUAUUGCUGCCAGUAGUAGUGCUACUGCUGGGUUGCAACUGUGCACCACUCCCACAGUACCAGAUAGUAAGCAGUCAUUUAAUACUUACUACCUGGUUUUUUAAUAUUGUGGGUGUCCUAAUUAUAUCUACAAUUUAUUUCAUUCUAAAACUAAAUAUAUACAUGCUAAAUCAUCAUUCUCAGAUUAUUUUUAUAGUAUUUUCAUCCAAAUUAUUUCAUCAUUUCUCCAUUAUCUAACAUAUAUUAAUCAUUCUUAUUCUCAAAUCAUUUUCAUAAUAUUUCAAUCCAAAUCAUUUCAUCAUUUCUCUAUUAUCUAACAUAUAUCCCGCAGCAAAGCGCGGAGCAUUUAGAGAAUGAGCAAGACCAAAAUGCUCCUGAAGAAAUAUGUCAAACUAUCUGUUUUGUCGCAUAUUUUAGUCAAAUUUUCAUCGCAUAUUUUAUAGGAAUAAAGUGAAACAAAACAG